AGAGGCUGAGGGCACUUGGUCUGCUCAGCCCGGAGGGGACAGAGAGGAGACCUCAGUGCAGAUACAGCUGCCUCGUGAGGGGAAGAGGAGGGACAGACACUGAUCUCUGCUCUCUGGUGACAGUGACAGGACCCAAGGAAUGGCCUGAAGCUGUGUCAGGGGAGGUUCAGUCUGACUAUAAAGUAAGAACACAUUCAUCACCAGCCAGCCCUCACCAAGAUAAGAUUAAACUGCUAAUUCUGCAUGAAUUACUCAGUCCCUAAAGCAGAGAUAUCAAUCACUAUGUGGAUGAGGAACAUAAUAAUCUUCAAAGACUUCUCUUUGAAUUUUUAUGUCAUUAUGAGUACUUUGAAAAGUUUCCUCAGAGUGUCUCUUCAGUCACUGAAGCUGCUGCUUUCUUGCACAGUUCAAGUCCAUGACCUCAGAACUCCAGGUUUGUCCUCUUCCAUACUCUCAGUUUGGUUCAAGCAAGGACCAUCUUGCCAUCUCUGGCAUGUUUUUUGCAAUCUCUGGCAUGUUCUCCAGCCCCUUGACCAUCCAGCCCCAACUCAUGAACAGAUGAACAUGGUAGAUGGUCCUUGCACAGCAACAUCACCAGGAAAGGAGCAAGCAGAGAUGACACCAGAACUGCCUCAUCAUGAAACAAUCAGUCCAUCCCUCCAGAAAUGAGGCUGUACACAAAUCCCAGCUCUACCCACUCUCACUAAACAUGGUAUCUGAAAUUAAGGAACAUGCCAAUAGCUAUCUCCCUGUUUUACUCUUGGUAUUUGCUUCCACACCCGUCUGGCUCUGGCAGCAAACUCUGCCCACAUGGCUCUAUCAUGGAGAUCUUUCCAUGCCCAGACUUGUUUCCUCUCUGUAUCACCUCCCCAAUUGUAUGAACACAC